rnacentral:lncRNA from 1 species
AGGCAGGGAGGUGACUGCCUUUGGGGCGAAUGGGGAGUUUCCUUGGCACUGAACUUGUCAGGGGAGCAGAGCCACUGCUGGACUCCCCUGACUUCAGGGCUUUCCGAUGCUGAACUAGUGUUUGUGUGUGUGUGUGUGUGUGUGUGUGUGUGUGUGUGUGUGUGUGUGUGUGUUGUAACCAACUGAUUUCCGACAUUUCAAAGAGAUUCUUUCUAUUUCUCAGCAUUACGGAAAUGUACGUUGCUGGAAAAGCAGUAAAAACAAGCAUAGAACUGCAAUUUUCAAGAAAAUAGGAUCUCCAAAUAUAAAAAUAAAAAAGUAGCAGAUAAGAUGUAUAAUUCAAUCAAAUUACACAAAAUUGCUUGAGAAUCCAGAACAGUAGCGAUCCAUUAUGCCUCUGUUUUAUUAGUGACAAGUACAAUUACUCUAAAAUAAAGAACACUGGUGAAUAUAUAAUUGGCUGUAAUCAUGUUAGUGUUUGAAUAAAAAUGACGGGAACAUUUAACACUUUGACAACAAAAUGUUCAGAAAUAACUUAUUUAUUCAAACAGUUUUUUAUUUUCCACCAAGCGAAGGAGAAACACAGUUUGCUUAGGAAAAUCAAUGACUUUUCCCUGCAAUAAAUAAAUACCCCAAAGGGGAAAAACAGCCCCACACCUCUAUAUUAUUACUACUAUUAUUUUUAACCACCAAGAAGCUUAAUCCUAUUUGAAGUCAACAUUUCACAUAGCGGUUGUUUGGUACUAAAGUCCGCCACCUAGAGGAACAACUGUAUAAUGCAAUGCCAACCCCUUUACCCCCGCGGUGACCCGGAGAAUCAGUUAAUAUUCUUUGCAAAUUGCUGUCCAAACUAACUCCCUCACUCCACCCCCUCAUAUCCCCUUCCGCCCUGAAACAUCGUCACAAUAUUUUCUUAGUAAUUGUUAUGCGCGGUUGACAAAAACCGGAGACUUUCUCCGUUAGUGUAGAUCUCCCGGGAAAGUGCCAGGGAGUGCACCGGGGAAGCGGGUCAGGAUUUGGAAGGUGCUGGAGAGGCAAUUCUCUUUUACCUGGGGUUCAUUUAGAGCAGCCCGAUUUCAGGUCCCUUAAAGGAACAGUUUAAGAGAGAAUCAUCUUAGUCUGGCUCCCUCUGGUUUUGCGCAGAGAAAGAAACCAGUUCCCGCCCCCUGCUCCGCCGGCAUACAAAAUCUGGGCCCCUGCUUUUUAUCUAAUUAGUCCUGUAAGUUUUAUCGACCCAGGUAGGCUACUGGGAAUACCCAUAAUGCAGAUUUUGUUUGGUUGUGUCCCUGGAGCCAGACCCACGCAAGAGAAAAAUCUAGAUUUUUGCACAGUCCUGUAUUGUCAAGAAACGCAUGCGGUUUGCGGGAGAAUUUGGAGCUCCGCUCGGCAGGACUUUUCGCUUUUAAGUCUUGUUGGAUCGCUUGGAUCCAAUGGGGAGAUGGGGAGAACCACCCUACCUUCCCACUCACUUUAAUUUAAGCUUUGGGCAGGGAUACUCUAAAGGAGGCUAGGGCGGCUGGAAGAAGAAUUUCCUAAUGUGCGCUACAUUCCCUUAGCGGACAUUGCUGCCACCGCCGCAGCCUCUAUGGUGAUCCAGGCCAGACAUUCAGCCUUCCCCAUCUCACUUCAAAGUUUUAUCUGCCCGAAGUUGCCUAUAAAAAUGUUUAAGCUAGCAGGACGAGAAAGGAGCAGAAUGAUUGAAUUCUUUUUAAAAAAUAAGUGUAGCUAGUACCCGAACUUCCGAUGAGUUUUAUCUCUUCGGUUCCCCUGGUUUCUUCCUUCCCUCUCUUCCUAUUUUUUCUUAGAUGUCUCACCUUUCCUUCCCUUUUCCUCUCUCUCUCUCUCUCUUUUCUAGUCUAUGUCUACCAACUUUUCUCCAAGAAUAAGAUGAAGAGAGCGGAGGUGAUGCCGAGACAGACCCUUUCCCCCCACUUUCCUGCCUCCUAGUCUCAGAUGCUCCACGCGGGAUUUGGACGCCCUCUGAGGGUUCUUCCUCUUCUUCUGACUCAAUAGCAGUUCAAUUAGGAACCAUUAAACUAUUUUCCUGGUGUAUGUCUAAAUUAUUUUAAGGUAGUUAAAUAUGUAUUUUAAAAAUCACAAACACUAGAUGGCUGUCCGGUGGCCUAAGGCCUGAGGGUUCUAAGCCCACUCCACCACUCUACCGCAAGGCCCUAAGAACUCAAAUCCUCAGAUUUUUUUUCCUUUUUUGGUUUAUGCAAAGCUAGCUCUUCCACUCUUCACUCCGAGGUCUAUCAUCCCUCUCCUGCAUUAUAUUAACAGCGUGCUAGCCUUCCUCUACGUGGGUAGGCUGCUAAUGGGAACCACUUAAUGCAACUGAAAUGCUCAUCUGUGGAGAUUUUCCCAAGCAAUGUUGGCUUUUUUUUCUUUUCUUUUCUUGUUUUCUUUUCAAGGCAUGGUCACCACUCCCUCACUUCUCCUCUUUUCUUAAUAUGGGGUCUGGAAAGGGGGUACAACAACUUUUAGUGAGUGGGAUGCUCCCUCCCCUUUCUGCUGCUUUUCAGUUAUCCCCGGGGAUAAACUGGACAGCUUUGCUUCUCUCUAAAGAGUAGGACUAUCCUAAGUCUAGCUAAAGCUCUUGGUUGCCUCUAGCAGCAAAUCCUAGUCCAUCUAUUCUCCAGUGCCACCUUUCCUUCCCCCGGGAAGUUUGUCCGGGGAAGUCAGGAUGGCUCUCACUGAGACUCUAUAGUGUUCUUCAGUGCAGUCCUCUGAAGAAAAUGCCACAAGAAAUUGCCACAGAGAUGCUCUGUGCUUUGCAUGGUCUCAUGUGUAGGGUAUGUUUCUUUAGUUGGAAGAACUUUUUAGGGUCUACUUUUGGGGGCUUGUUGGUAUCCCUUGCCAAGAAGGGAUGCACCCCCCCACCCCCCAAGAGAGUGAUCAUCUUAUAAAGCUUUAUACACUUUCAUAUAAUUCUGG